rnacentral:rRNA from 1 species
UACGUAGGGUGCAAGCGUUAAUCGGAAUUACUGGGCGUAAAGCGUGCGCAGGCGGUUUUGUAAGUCUGUCGUGAAAUCCCCCGGGCUCAACCUGGGAAUUGCGAUGGAGACUGCAAGGCUAGAAUCUGGCAGAGGGGGGUAGAAUUCCACGUGUAGCAGUGAAAUGCGUAGAGAUGUGGAGGAAUACCGAUGGCGAAGGCAGCCCCCUGGGAUAACACUGACGCUCAUGCA